AGAAAAGCAGCAUGCAUGGCCGAAAAAGAAAACGAAAAGAAAAAACCGCUUGCCUGCAGGCAAAGAUAAGGGACACCCACGCAUCAUACAUGCCCCUGUCUAUCCUGGACUGGAAGGAUAUGGUAGGGUAGGGGAGGGAUCACCAAAUACGCUUGCUUGCUGCUACUUUCCAGUGGAGGAGAGGAAGACCGGAAGAGGUUGUUGCCCACUUGGCUUUCCC
rnacentral:lncRNA from 1 species